UUAUUCUGGAGCAUUGUAUACAUAAGCCCAGUUCAAGUAUUGAAGGUUAACUAAAAGCAGUACUUGCUCUAACAUAAUGGAGACCCAAAUAGUCGUCCCUGAUCAUAUGGAAAGAAGAUUGGCAGAAAGAGAACGACCAAUUAAAGUUGAAUUCGAACCAGAAAGCUAUGUCGUUGCAGCAAUGGAUGAUAUCUUCAAUCUCAAUUCAGUGCUGACCUUUGCUGUCUUUGUUGGAAUAUCUCAGGCUUCACCAGGCAGCCGCAGCCUGGAGAAUCGCGAUGAGUGUAACGCAGGUCCAAAAAUGGCCAAAAUGCUGAUUGUGUACGAAGUUUUGGCCUUCUCUUUUUUCCUUUUCUCAAGCCUUUUCGCAAAAUUAGUUAAGCUCCUCUUAAGCUUGAACGGUAAAAAAUUUCAAAUCAUUAAAGGUCGGGAUUUCAAUUUCUUACACUAUAUGUGGCACUUGACAGCAAUGACGUCUGUGAUUGGAAUUGUUCUGCUUAUGCUUUCGGUAGUGAAUUUAGUUCAAAUUCAAAUAGGAUUGUAUUCUUGUGGGAGUAGUGAAGCAAGGAUAGCCAUUUGGGGUCUCUGCACAGUUGUUGGCACUGCUUUAAUAACUUAUGUGCUGUCUUUGUCUAUAGGUAUAUAUGGAAUGUUGAUAGAAAAAACUUGAAGUGCU